UUUGCCCUACGGGGGGCAGCAGUGAGGAAUAUUGGUCAAUGGACGAGAGUCUGAACCAGCCAAGUAGCGUGAAGGAUGACUGCCCUAUGGGUUGUAAACCUCUUUUGUCAGGGAGCAACGCCGGCUACGUGUAGCCGGACUGAGAGUACCUGAAGAAAAAGCAUCGGCUAACUCCGUGCCAGCAGCCGCGGUAAUACGGAGGAUGCGAGCGUUAUCCGGAUUUAUUGGGUUUAAAGGGUGCGUAGGCGGAAUGCCAAGUCAGCGGUAAAAUCGCGGGGCUCAACCUCGCUCCGCCGUUGAAACUG
rnacentral:rRNA from 1 species